rnacentral:rRNA from 1 species
GACGCACUCUCAGAGUUUGAUCCUGGCUCAGGAUGAACGCUGGCGGCGUGCCUAACACAUGCAAGUCGAACGGAGCUGAAAGGAAAGCGACUUCGGUCAAUUGAAUAGAAAGCUUAGUGGCGGAUGGGUGAGUAACACGUGAGCAACCUGCCUUACACAGGGGAAUAACAACGGGAAACCGUUGCUAAUACCGCAUAACAUAUACUAGAGGCAUCUUAGGUAUAUCAAAGGAGCAAUCCGGUGUAAGAUGGGCUCGCGUCCGAUUAGAUAGUUGGAGAGGUAACGGCUCCCCAAGUCGACGAUCGGUAGCCGGACUGAGAGGUUGAACGGCCACACUGGGACUGAGACACGGCCCAG